rnacentral:rRNA from 1 species
GAGCACGUAGGUGGGUUUGUAAGUCAGAUGUGAAAGCCUUCUGUUCAACGGGAGAAUUGCAUCUGAAACUGCUAAUCUUGAGUAUAGGAGGGGAGAAUGGAACUUCUGGUGGAGCGGUGAAAUGCGUAGAUAUCAGAAGGAACGCCGGCGGCGAAAGCGAUUCUCUGGCCUAUUACUGACACUCAGUGUGCGAAAGCUAGGGGAGCAAACGGGAUUAGAUACCCCGUAGCCUGGCUGUU